rnacentral:misc_RNA from 1 species
GAUGAAGAACGCAGCAAAAUGCGAUAAGUAAUGUGAAUUGCAGAAUUCAGUGAAUCAUCGAAUCUUUGAACGCACCUUGCGCCUUUUGGUAUUCCGAAAGGCACACCUGUUUGAGCGUCAUGAAUACCUCAAUCUCCAUCUUUUCUUCGGAUUGAUGGGUGACUUGGAUGUUGAGCCCUGCUGGUAUGCUAUAUCAGCUGGCUUUAAACUUAUUAGCCGGCUCUGUACUGGAUCGGUUUGACUCGACGUGAUAAUAUUAUCGUUGAGGAUGCAUGUCUCAUGCAGCCGGAAAGUAUCAAAGCAGCUUCUAGCUUGCCUUUAGUGCACUUUUACAUUUUAGACCUCAGAUCAGGUGGGACUACCCGCUGAACUUAAGCAUAUCAAUAAGCGGAGGA